rnacentral:misc_RNA from 1 species
GAUGAAGAACGUAGCGAAAUGCGAUAAGUAAUGUGAAUUGCAGAAUUCAGUGAAUCAUCGAAUCUUUGAACGCACAUUGCGCCCUUUGGUAUUCCGAAGGGCAUGCCUGUUCGAGCGUCAUUUCACCACUCAAGCCUGGCUUGGUAUUGGGCGCCGCGGUCGAUCCGCGCGCCUCAAAGUCUCCGGCUGAGCUGUCCGUCUCUAAGCGUUGUGAUUUCAUUAAUCGCUUCGGAGUGCGGGCGGCCGCGGCCGUUAAAUCUUUCACAAGGUUGACCUCGGAUCAGGUAGGGAUACCCGCUGAACUUAAGCAUAUCAAUAAGCGGAGGA